rnacentral:rRNA from 1 species
GACGAACCGUCCAAACGUUGUUCGGAAUCACUGGGCUUAAAGGGCGCGUAGGCGGGCUGCCAAGUCAGGGGUGAAAUCUUUCGGCUCAACCGGAAAAGUGCUUUUGAUACUGGCAGUCUCGAGGGAGGUAGGGGUCGAUGGAACUGGUGGUGGAGCGGUGAAAUGCGUAGAUAUCACUAGGAACGCCGGUGGCGAAAGCGAUCGACUGGACCUUUUCUGACGCUGAGGCGCGAAAGCCAGGGGAGCAAACGGG